rnacentral:rRNA from 1 species
UUACGGGGGGCUCCAGUGAGGAAUAUUGCACAAUGGGGGGAACCCUGAUGCAGCAACGCCGCGUGGAGGAUGACGCAUUUCGGUGUGUAAACUCCUUUUAUAUGUCAAGAAAAUGACGGUAGCAUAUGAAUAAGCACCGGCUAACUCCGUGCCAGCAGCCGCGGUAAUACGGAGGGUGCAAGCGUUACUCGGAAUCACUGGGCGUAAAGGACGCGUAGGCGGGUUGGAAAGUCAGGUGUGAAAUCCUACAGCUUAACUGUAGAACUGCACUUGAAACUUCUAAUCUAGAGUAUGGGAGGGGGAGAUGGAAUUAGUGGUGUAGGGGUAAAAUCCGUAGAUAUCACUAGGAAUACCUAAAGCGAAGGCGAUCUCCUGGAACAUUACUGACGCUAAGGCGUGAAAGCGUGGGGAGCAAACAGGAUUAGAUACCCCAGAGUC